UUGUUCUCCCAUUUCCAGCCAGCCGCAGCUGUCGGAGAGAGACACACCAAAUAGUUGGGGAAAACCAAACGGAGGACGCUGAGCGCAGACCCCUUCGUCACAGGAACGCCCGGUAGCCACAUGCAAAGCACAGUCUGCACAGAGGACGCACGGCACUCCGUAGUUACAUAACUGGACUACUUCAAAAUUAAUUGUUGAUUAUUUUUUCACGCGUUUUUGCUGAAGCGAGCUGUUCCCUGCUAUAAACUCAAAAUGGAGAACGACGAGAAAUACCUCCCUGAACUGCUGGCGGAAAGGGACAGCCUGGAUUCGUCAUUUACACAUGCCAUGAAACUUUUGAACACGGAAAUUGAUAAAGUUCAGAAAGGUGAUACUAAAAAGGAGACAGAGACAUACUUGGAUCUUUUCACAACAAAGAACAUCAAACUUAAGGAACGAGUGCUCAUACCUGUCAAACAGUACCCAAAGUUCAAUUUUGUGGGGAAGAUUUUGGGACCUCAAGGCAAUACAAUCAAACGUCUGCAGGAAGAGACCGGAGCUAAGAUCUCUGUGCUUGGCAAAGGAUCCAUGAGAGACAAAUCCAAGGAGGAGGGGCUGAGGAAAGGCGGGGAGCCCAAGUAUGCCCACUUGUCCAUGGAGCUGCAUGUUUUCAUUGAGGUGUUUGCCCCUGUGCCGGAUGCCUACCUGAGGAUGGCCCAUGCCAUGGAGGAGGUCAAGAAAUUCCUGUUCCCUGAUAUGAUGGAUGAUAUCUGCCAAGAGCAGUUCAUGGAAAUGAGCUACCUGAAUGGAGGCCAGGAGCAUGGAGCUCGAGGCCGAGGGGGGAUGCCAGUCAGGGGCCGCGGAGUCCCCCCUUCUGGAUCACACAGGGGAAGGGGAAUGCCUCCACGUGGAGGUGUCACUCGAGGUGGCCCUGGCAGAGGCGGGGCACUGAGGGGCGCUCCAGCAGGCCGAGGAGGACUUCCUGCAGUACCUGCCAGGGGAGCAGUGGCGGCCCGUGCUAGGCUUUCUACUGGAGGACCCCCCCAGAGAAUGGCACCUCUACCCCCCCACCAGCACGCACCUGCUGGGGCUGCAGAGAACUAUGACGAAUAUGGCUACGAUGAGAGCUACACAGACACGGCCUACGAGUCAUACGACAGCUAUUACAGUCAGCCGCAGGCAGAGGCUGAAUAUUACGACUAUGGACAUGGAGAUGCAUCAGAGUCGUACGAGUCCUAUGGCCAAGAUGACUGGAACGGGACCCAGCGAGCAGCACCAGGGAAGGCCCCUCCCCCCUCCAGAGGUGCCAAGACUCCUUAUCGGGAGCACCCAUACAGACAGUACUGAAGUGGACUCACCACCCUAAAUGUGUCGCCCUGACUACCGCCUGUGUACCACGGCAGCUCUCGCUUUAAGCAGCCCGACUAAAGCAAAGCUAUCAGUCAUUGGGUGCCCAGGAGAUGGACAGUCUGCUGAAGAGAGCCCAUGAGAAACCUCAGUGAAGCCAUACACAGGAGCAGCUCAGCAUGAAGGAGGUGGUCAGAGGAAGCUCUCCAGGGGCUGCCCUGUUAUGUUCCUGGCUGGGAGGGUUCAGGCUGGCUGCCAAGUGACCCACAGUUGCCUAUUGAUUUGGUGAGGGGAGAGAAGCUGGCUCUGACUCCCACUGGAGCACAAUUAAGAAUGCAGCUGGUCGGUGAAGACAUAUUAAGCUAGUUGUGAAUCAGGAAGAGUUCGAGACUUAACAAGUUGUGGUUGUGAUUAACAUCUUUAUAUUAUUUAUACUUUUGCAGAUGUAGAAGGACCAACAAACAUUUAGUUCCCCUCAUAUCCACCCAGCUGUUUUGUUGUAGCUUGUGCAAUCUUGCACAAUUUUUGCCUAGAAAGUUCAAACAUUUUCCAAAGUGUUCUUCGUGUUUCGCUAGUCUGUCUUGAACUGUCGGCUACACUUCUCAACGCUACCCUGGUGGUGGUAAUGUUUGGUCCAAAUCAAUAACUGGAGAUGCUGUGGAAUAUCUGGCCAAACAGUUAAUCCAGGUCCCUUUGUCAUUGGUACCAGAAUUACGAGGCAGGCCCACAAUCUCAGUCAAAUACUCCAUCUUAACUUUAAUGCAGCUGCCCGCCACUAGCCACUGUAGAUGUUCUAAAUCAGUGGUUCUUAACUGGUCUAGAGUCAGGACCCACCACCACCUCCUUGUCGACCAGUCGCCAUCCAGAUUUCUAAAAAUUCAGUCAUUACCGAGUGUUUUUGAUGAAAAAAGGUUCUGUAUGGACCCUUAAUGGAAGAAAACAUGAAUGAACAAAGAGAAAGGGCAAAACAAACAUGUUUGAAAUGUGCAUCAUCAUAGAAGGACAUGCAUGCAUACAUUUUAUUUUACUCAAUUUUCCUCAGACAGCAAAGAAAUUUGGUAAUUUCUCAAGGAAUUUCUUUAUUAUCUCAGGGAAACCAAUUUUAUUAUGGGGGGUUAAGAAUAUAAAUCAGUUGAAACCUUGAGAAAAUACCUAAAUGUACUUGUUAUCACUUGAAAAACUUGUAUGGAUGUACUGCAUGUCCACACACUUUUAAAGAGUUAUUGCCACAUUUUCUUUUCCUGGCACCCAUUCACUACUUUGAUGUAGAAAGUGGGGAUAGAGUUGUUCAGAGGCUGUGUCAGGUUAUGCUCACAUAUCACUGAGGCACAGGAACAGGAAUAUUAAACUGCAAAAAGGAUGAAAAGCGGGCCGCAUUAGCAUUGCUAACGUUCAGCACAUUCAACAAACCAGUGUUGCAUUUUUACAGUGUGACAUGGUUUUACCUUUGCAGUGGUUUUGCACACUGAGUAAAUGCAAUUACAUUUUGAGUUUAAUCACGUGGAAAAUUAUAUGCCUAGAACAUCACUAUCCAUAGCCUUCCAGAAAAUGUGCAGAAAUAUUGGCAAAACGAACUAAAGUAUGGACAGAAGGUUCUGUCUGACUUAAAAGUAUACAUGAGCCUUUAGCCUUAACAAUGCUAUCUACCUCCCCUUUAAAACAUUAUUUGACCUCCCUGGUCAAUUCUCCUCAUUCUUCCUGCAUGUUGUGCAGUAUCCAUGCUGCAUGAAAUCAGAUUCAGUGCUUAAGAGUUAAAGAUGCCAGAAAAGUGAGGAUCACUAUCUUGUUGUGGACGAGUUCACCGCAAGCUCACACAUAACACACAUACACUCUGCCACAUCUUGGCAUUGCAUGGCUAGUGUAGCCUGAGGAUAUCAAAUGCUAAUUCAGUGGCCUAUUUGCAUGUACUCACAUGUACCCUCUCCACAAAUGUGCAACACUUUCAUAAGCAACACUGGCCUGCUCGCUGCUGUUCAGCAUCCAAGUAUGAUAAUUCAGCGAGAUGGGCCCAGGAGGAAAGCUGCAUGUGAAAGGGGGACUGAGGGUGAAGACAGACAUUACUACUUCCCCCAUCAUCCAUCAUGCCUCUGUUGAUUUGAUUCCCCUUUAUGCCAUUUUCUACCAUUACCGCUGGUGAUAUUACAGCUGCCUUUGGUGCCGAGUUACAUUUAGAGGUCAAAACUAUACUUUCCUGUAUUAAAAGCACAUUUCUCUUUUCCAGUCGGGUGGUCAGAUGCUGCAUCACCCAAGUCAGAGACUCCAUUUAGUUUAUUGAAAAAGCUAGCGGCUUAGAUGAUAGAACAUUAGAUGUUAGGACAGAAACCUUCAUUUGAUGUGAAAUGUCAAAAGGCCGUAUCCAAAACAGAUCAUUCUUCAGUCUUUAUGAGCUAUUAUGUCUAAAAUAAUGAUUUUUGUGUCUCCUGUAAUCUAAUGAAAGAUAAGUGAUGGUGUGAAAGCCAUCUCCUCUGCUUUAAUCGAUGAACUGUCAAGAGUGUAAGCAUGGAAAAGAAAGUUAAUGUUACUGUGGUAUGAUCAAUAA